rnacentral:rRNA from 1 species
GAUGAACGCUGGCGGCGUGCUUAACACAUGCAAGUCGAACGGAAAGGCUCCUGCUUGCAGGGGUACUCGAGUGGCGAACGGGUGAGUAACACGUGGGUGAUCUGCCCUGCACUUCGGGAUAAGCCUGGGAAACUGGGUCUAAUACCGGAUAGGACGAUGGUUUGGAUGCCAUUGUGGAAAGUUUUUUCGGUGUGGGAUGAGCUCGCGGCCUAUCAGCUUGUUGGUGGGGUAAUGGCCUACCAAGGCGUCGACGGGUAGCCGGCCUGAGAGGGUGUACGGCCACAUUGGGACUGAGAUACGGCCCAGACUCCUACGGGAGGCAGCAGUGGGGAAUAUUGCACAAUGGGCGCAAGCCUGAUGCAGCGACGCCGCGUGGGGGAUGAUGGCCUUCGGGUUGUAAACUCCUUUCGCUAGGGACGAAGCGCAAGUGACGGUACCUGGAGAAGAAGCACCGGCUAACUACGUG